GACGAACGCUGGCGGCGUGCUUAACACAUGCAAGUCGAACAGUGGCGAACGGGUGAGUAACACGUGCGUAACCUUCCCUCCCCUUUGGGAUAACUCCGAGAAAUCGGGGCUAAUACUUGAUCGUGGGGGAUGGGCUCGCGGCCUAUCCGUUUGUUGGUGAGGUAGUGGUCACCCAGGCGUGAAGGGUUGCCGGCCUGAGAGGGCGACCGGCCAAACUGGGACUGAGACACGGCCCAGAGGACUACGGGAGGCAGCAGUGGGGAAUAUUGAGCAAUGGGCGAAAGUCUGAUGCAGAGACGACGCGUGGGGGAGGACGGCCUUCGGGGUGUAAACCUAUUUCAGCAAGGAAGCGGUACUUGCAGAAGAAGCGCAGGAUAACUACGUGCCAGCAGCCGCGGUAAUUC
rnacentral:rRNA from 1 species